GCUAAUAUUUGCACACAACAAUCCACACUGGUCACUGGAUUAACUACAUGUGUUGCUAUAUUAAAGAAUAUGAAAUAUCUUAAAGAUAUUAAGUAGUUAUAAAUCCAGUGACCAGUGUGGAUUGUUGUGUGCAAAAUAUUAGC